UUCUCUUUUAUUAGAA
rnacentral:tRNA from 1 species